rnacentral:tRNA from 1 species
GGUUGUGGCUCAGUGGUAGAGUGCUUGCCUACCAUGCAUGAGGCACUGUGUUCGAGCCCUGGCACCA